UACUAUAGCUUGACACUGAACAUUGAGCCUUGAUGUGUAGGAUAGGUGGGAGGCUUUGAAGUGUGGACGCCAGUCUGCAUGGAGCCGACCUUGAAAUACCACCCUUUAAUGUUUGAUGUUCUAACGUGGACCCGUGAUCCGGGUUGCGGACAGUGUCUGGUGGGUAGUUUGACUGGGGCGGUCUCCUCCUAAAGAGUAACGGAGGAGCACGAAGGUUGGCUAAUCCUGGUCGGACAUCAGGAGGUUAGUGCAAUGGCAUAAGCCAGCUUGACUGCGAGCGUGACGGCGCGAGCAGGUGCGAAAGCAGGUCAUAGUGAUCCGGUGGUUCUGAAUGGAAGGGCCAUCGCUCAACGGAUAAAAGGUACUCCGGGGAUAACAGGCUGAUACCGCCCAAGAGUUCAUAUCGACGGCGGUGUUUGGCACCUCGAUGUCGGCUCAUCACAUCCUGGGGCUGAAGUAGGUCCCAAGGGUAUGGCUGUUCGCCAUUUAAAGUGGUACGCGAGCUGGGUUUAGAACGUCGUGAGACAGUUCGGUCCCUAUCUGCCGUGGGCGCUGGAGAACUGAGGGGGGCUGCUCCUAGUACGAGAGGACCGGAGUGGACGCAUCACUGGUGUUCGGGUUGUCAUGCCAAUGGCACUGCCCGGUAGCUAAAUGCGGAAGAGAUAAGUGCUGAAAGCAUCUAAGCACGAAACUUGCCCCGAGAUGAGUUCUCCCUGACUCCUUGAGAGUCCUGAAGGAACGUUGAAGACGACGACGUUGAUAGGCCGGGUGUGUAAGCGCAGCGAUGCGUUGAGCUAACCGGUACUAAUGAACCGUGAGGCUUAACCUUACAACGCCGAAGGUGUUU
rnacentral:rRNA from 1 species